rnacentral:rRNA from 1 species
GAUGAACGCUGGCGGCGUGCCUAAUACAUGCAAGUCGAGCGAACAGACGCUGCGCUUGCUCCUCUGACGUUAGCGGCGGGCGGGUGAGUAACACGUGGAUAACCUACCUAUCAGACUGGGAUAACUUCGGGAAACCGGCGCUAAUACCGGAUAAUAUAUUGAACCGCAUGGUUCAAUAGUGAAAGACGGUUUUGCUGUCACUUAUAGCUGGAUCCCCGCCGCAUUAGCUAGUUGGUAAGGUAACGGCUUACCACGGCAACGAUGCGUAGCCGACCUGAGAGAGUGAUCGGCCACACUGGAGCUGAGACGCGGUCCAGACUCCUACGGGAGGCAGCAGUAGGGAAUCGUCCGCAAUGGGCGAAAGCCUGACGGAGCGACGCCGCGUGAGUGAUGAAGAUCUUCGGAUCGUAAAACUCUGUUAUUAGGGAAGAACAAAUGUGUAAGGAACUAUGCACGUCUUGACGGUACCUAAUCAGAAAGCCACGGCUAACUACGUG